rnacentral:rRNA from 1 species
CCCUUAGAUGUCCUGGGCCGCACGCGCGCUACACUGACGGAGGCAGCGAGCUUACCCCUUUGCCGAAAGGCAUGGGAAAUCUUUUGAAUCUCCGUCGUGCUGGGGAUAGAUCAUUGCAAUUAUUGAUCUUGAACGAGGAAUUCCUAGUAAGCGCAAGUCAUCAACUUGCGUUGAUUACGUCCCUGCCCUUUGUACACACCGCCCGUCGCACCUACCGAUUGAAUGGUCCGGUGAAAUCUUCGGAUUGAGACUUUGAUUUCUUCACGGAAAACGCUGUUUUAAGAAGUUGAUUAAACCUUACCAUUUAGAGGAAGGUGAAGUCGUAACA